UACGGAGGGGGCGAGCGUUAUUCGGAAUUAUUGGGCGUAAAGGGCGCGUAGGCGGCCUGGUCAGUCGAAGGUGAAAUCCCCGAGCUCAACUUGGGAACUGCCUUCGAUACUGCCGGGCUUGAGUCCGGGAGGGGAGAGUGGAAUCCCCAGUGUAGCGGUGAAAUGCGCAGAUAUCAGGAAGAACACCCGUGGCGAAGGCGGCUCUCUGGAACGCAACUGACGCUGAGACGCGAAAGCGUGGGGAGCAAACAGG
rnacentral:rRNA from 1 species